rnacentral:rRNA from 1 species
GAUGAACGCUGGCGGCGUGCCUAAUACAUGCAAGUCGAGCGAACGGACGAGAAGCUUGCUUCUCUGAUGUUAGCGGCGGACGGGUGAGUAACACGUGGAUAACCUACCUAUAAGACUGGGAUAACUUCGGGAAACCGGAGCUAAUACCGGAUAAUAUUUUGAACCGCGUGGUUCAAAAGUGAAAGACGGUCUUGCUGUCACUUAUAGAUGGAUCCGCGCUGCAUUAGCUAGUUGGUAAGGUAACGGCUUACCAAGGCAACGAUGCAUAGCCGACCUGAGAGGGUGAUCGGCCACACUGGAACUGAGACACGGUCCAGACUCCUACGGGAGGCAGCAGUAGGGAAUCUUCCGCAAUGGGCGAAAGCCUGACGGAGCAACGCCGCGUGGGUGAUGAAGGUCUUCGGAUCGUAAAACUCUGUUAUUAGGGAAGAACAUAUGUGUAAGUAACUGUGCACAUCUUGACGGUACCUAAUCAGAAAGCCACGGCUAACUACGUGCCAGCAGCCGCGGUAAUACGUAGGUGGCAAGCGUUAUCCGGAAUUAUUGGGCGUAAAGCGCGCGUAGGCGGUUUUUUAAGUCUGAUGUGAAAGCCCACGGCUCAACCGUGGAGGGUCAUUGGAAACUGGAAAACUUGAGUGCAGAAGAGGAAAGUGGAAUUCCAUGUGUAGCGGUGAAAUGCGCAGAGAUAUGGAGGAACACCAGUGGCGAAGGCGACUUUCUGGUCUGUAACUGACGCUGAUGUGCGAAAGCGUGGGGAUCAAACAGGAUUAGAUACCCUGGUAGUCCACGCCGUAAACGAUGAGUGCUAAGUGUUAGGGGGUUUCCGCCCCUUAGUGCUGCAGCUAACGCAUUAAGCACUCCGCCUGGGGAGUACGACCGCAAGGUUGAAACUCAAAGGAAUUGACGGGGACCCGCACAAGCGGUGGAGCAUGUGGUUUAAUUCGAAGCAACGCGAAGAACCUUACCAAAUCUUGACAUCCUUUGACAACUCUAGAGAUAGAGCCUUCCCCUUCGGGGGGGCAAAGUGACAGGUGGUGCAUGGUUGUCGUCAGCUCGUGUCGUGAGAUGUUGGGUUAAGUCCCGCAACGAGCGCAACCCUUAAGCUUAGUUGCCAUCAUUAAGUUGGGCACUCUAAGUUGACUGCCGGUGACAAACCGGAGGAAGGUGGGGAUGACGUCAAAUCAUCAUGCCCCUUAUGAUUUGGGCUACACACGUGCUACAAUGGACAAUACAAAGGGCAGCGAAACCGCGAGGUCAAGCAAAUCCCAUAAAGUUGUUCUCAGUUCGGAUUGUAGUCUGCAACUCGACUACAUGAAGCUGGAAUCGCUAGUAAUCGUAGGUCAGCAUGCUACGGUGAAUACGUUCCCGGGUCU